rnacentral:rRNA from 1 species
CGAAACGGGAAGAGCCCAUCGCUGAAUCCUGCGGCCCAGGCGGGCCGCCGGGAAAUGUAGCGUUCGGGAGGAGAGUUAAAUUUAUACGCGCGGUCAUUAGUCACGGCUGCCUGUCCAAGUUCAUCUUGAACGGGGCUCCGCUUGCCCGCAGAGGGUGCCAGGCCCGUGGUGACGGUAGCCGGCCGCGACGGUCUCUCUCCCCAGAGUCGGGUUGCUUGAGAGUGCAGCCCUAAGCGGGUGGUAAACUCCAUCUAAGGCUAAAUACUACCACGAGACCGAUAGCGAACAAGUACCGUGAGGGAAAGUUGAAAAGAACUUUGAAGAGAGAGUUAAAGAGUACGUGAAACCGUUCAGGGGUAAACCUGUGGAACUCGAACGAUCGAACGGGGAGAUCAUCGCUCUUCCGCGCUCGGUCCGYGCCUGCUUCGCGCACCGGCGCGCCCCGUCCCGUCUUCNCGUCGGGCGGGCGCGCGUCUGACUCGUGGUUCGAGUCGACAGGCNGGCGGAAUUGCGUGCACUUCUCCCUCAGUAAAACACCGCGACCCGUCGCGCCGCGGUCGAAUGCGCCGUGCGGUUGUCCCGCUCCGUAUAUUCGGGGCGGAGCCGCGCCGGUGUCCACGGCCGCCGCUCGUGCGACGGUAGAGAACGAGGUAUCCGUCCGCCCGCAGUGCGGGCGUCCGCUCCGUCGCAGCGUACGCGUCCCCCGGCGCCUGGUGCGUCUCGCGGGCUGGCGCGUGUCGUUUAGGUUGCGUGUAUGGUGACGCGAGCUCGGACAGGACGGUGGUCCCGGUCGGCGGUGGUUUUGUUUCGGGCACUCACAGGACCCGUCUUGAAACACGGACCAAGGAGUCUAGCAUGUGCGCGAGUCAUUGGGAUUUUGAUUUUCAUACUAAACCCAGAGGCGCAAUGAAAGUGAAAGUCGGCACUCGCUGCCGACGAAGGGAAGAUGCGCGAGCGGCUUCCGGCCGUUCCGCCGCAUUCCCGAGGCGUUUCGAGAAAGCCACCGUGCCAUUACCGARACGCACUGAGAGCGUACACGCUGGGACCCGAAAGAUGGUGAACUAURCCUGGUCAGGUCGAAGUCAGGGGAAACCCUGAUGGAGGACCGAAGCGAUUCUGACGUGCAAAUCGAUCGUCGGAACUGGGUAUAGGGGCGAAAGACUAAUCGAACUAUCUARUAGCUGGUUCCCUCCGAAGUUUCCCUCAGGAUAGCUGGNNNNNNNNNNNNNNNNNNNNNNNNNNNNNNNNNNNNNNNNNNNNNNNNNNNNNNNNNNNNNNNNNNNNNNNNNNNNNNNNNNNNNNNNNNNNNNNNNNNNGGCUCGGGGCGCGAAGAGCAUCGCCGAUGCGGCGGUGUCCGGAUCGUCCCCUCGGACCUUGAAAAUUCAGGUGAGGGAUACGCGGAGAUGUCGCGCCGGCUCGUACCCAUAUCCGCAGCAGGUCUCCAAGGUGAAUAGCCUCUAGCCGAUAGAAUAAUGUAGGUAAGGGAAGUCGGCAAGUUGGAUCCGUAACUUCGGGAUAAGGAUUGGCUCUGAGGGCCGUGGCGUGUCGGGCCUGGUCGGGAUGAGGGCAUCGGCCGAGACGCGGAAGCCGGGCGCGGACGGUCCCUUCGCGGGGACAAUACGCGCCCGGCGCCUCGCCUUGGCCUCCCCUCGGAUCUUCCUCGCUGUGUGGCGCGUCGGGCGCGCGAGCGUUCGGCGCCGUCUGUACGGCCGCCGGAUAACGGUCGACUCAGAACUGGCACGGACAAGGGGAAUCCGACUGUCUAAUUAAAACAAAGCAUUGCGAUGGCCCUCGCGGGUGUUGACGCAAUGUGAUUUCUGCCCAGUGCUCUGAAUGUCAACGUGAAGAAAUUCAAGCAAGCGCGGGUAAACGGCGGGAGUAACUAUGACUCUCUUAAGGUAGCCAAAUGCCUCGUCAUCUAAUUAGUGACGCGCAUGAAUGGAUUAACGAGAUUCCCAUCUGUCCCUAUCUACUAUCUAGCGAAACCACUGCCAAGGGAACGGGCUUGGGAGAAUCAGCGGGGAAAGAAGACCCUGUUGAGCUUGACUCUAGUCUGGUACUGUGAGGUGACAUGAGGGGUGUAGAAUAAGUGGGAGGCGUUCGUUCCUCGCGUUCGUUCGCCGAACGUGAAAUACCACUACUUUCAUCGUUUCGUCACUUACUCAGUUGGGCGGAGGGCGUGCGCCGGCUUCAACGCCGCGCGUCACGGGUUUUUCGCGCCAAACGUGUACGGGGCGGCGAGCCGCCGUGCGCGGAGUGCGCGCGUUCGUCCGGCGCGCCCUUCACGGGGCGUGUCCGGCGCGCGCGCGCGUGCGACGCGUUCGGCGUCGCCGCAAUACCCCGCGUGAUCCGUUCUGAGGACACUGCCAGGCGGGGAGUUUGACUGGGGCGGUACAUCUGUCAAAGAAUAACGCAGGUGUCCUAAGACCAGCUCAGCGAGGCCGGAAAUCUCGCGUCGAGCAAAAGGGCAAAA